rnacentral:rRNA from 1 species
CCUACGGGUGGCAGCAGUGGGGAAUAUUGGACAAUGGGGGAAACCCUGAUCCAGCGACGCCGCGUGAGUGAAGAAGUAUUUCGGUAUGUAAAGCUCUAUCAGCAGGGAAGAAAAUGACGGUACCUGACUAAGAAGCCACGGCUAACUACGUGCCAGCAGCCGCGGGAAUACGUAGGGGGCAAGCGUUAUCCUGAUUUACUGGGUGGAAAGGGAGCGUAGACGGUGCAGCAAGUAUGAUGUGAAAGGUCCGGGCCCAACCCCGGGACUGCAUUUGAAACUGUUGAACUGGAGUACAUGAGAGGUAAGCGGAAUUCCUAGUGUAGCGGUGAAAUGCGUAGAUAUUAGGAGGAACACCAGUGGCGAAGGCGGCUUACUG